rnacentral:rRNA from 1 species
AGUGAACGCUGGCGGCGUGCCUAAUACAUGCAAGUCGAACGGACAAGUAAGAGCUUGCUCUUAUGAGUUAGUGGCGCACGGGUGAGUAAUGUAUAGCUAAUCUGCCCUACACUAGAGGACAACAGUUGGAAACGACUGCUAAUACUCUAUACUCCUCUCUAGCAUAAGUUAGAUAGGGAAAGUUCUUCGGUGUAGGAUGAGGCUAUAUUGUAUCAGCUAGUUGGUGAGGUAAUGGCUCACCAAGGCUAUGACGCAUAACUGGUCUGAGAGGAUGAUCAGUCACCUGGAACUGAGACACGGUCCAGACUCCUACGGAGGCAGCAGUAGGGAAUAUUGCUCAAUGGGGGAACCCUGAAGCAGCAACGCCGCGUGGAGGAUGACACUUUUCGGAGCAGUAAAC